rnacentral:tRNA from 1 species
GCCAAUGUAGCUCAGCUGGUAGAGCAAUGCUUUCGUAAAGCAGAGGUCAAGGGUUCGAAUCCCUUCAUUGGCUCCA